rnacentral:rRNA from 1 species
ACUCCUACGGGAGGCAGCAGUGGGGAAUUUUGGACAAUGGGGGAAACCCUGAUCCAGCCAUCCCGCGUGUGCGAUGAAGGCCUUCGGUUGUAAAGCACUUUGGUCAGGAAAGAAACGGACUCCGGAUAAUACCUGGGGCAACUGACGGUACCUGCAGAAUAAGCACCGGCUAACUACGUGCCAGCAGCCGCGGUAAUACGUAGGGUGCAAGCGUUAAUCGGAAUUACUGGGCGUAAAGCGUGCGCAGGCGGUUCGGAAAGAAAGAUGUGAAAUCCCAGAGCUUAACUUUGGAACUGCAUUUUAACUUACCGAGCUAGAGUGUGUCAGAGGAGGUGGAAUUCCGCGUGUAGCAGUGAAAUGCGUAGAUAUGCGGAGGAACACCGAUGGCGAAGGCAGCUCCUGGGACAACACUGACGCUCAUGCACGAAAGCGUGGGAGCAAACGAGGAUU